rnacentral:rRNA from 1 species
GUUGAACGCUGGCGGCAGGCCUAACACAUGCAAGUCGAGCGAGCGGCGGACGGGUGAGGAAUGUCUGGGAACCUGCCUGAUGGAUGGGGAUAACUACGGGAAACGGUAGCUAAUACCGCAUACCAUCAGAUGUGCCCAGAGGGGAUUAGCUGGUAGGUGGGGUAACGGCGCACCUAGUCGACGAUCCCUAGCGGGUCUGCGAGGAUGACCAGCCACACUGGAACUGAGACACGGCCCAGACUCCUACGGGAGGCAGCAGUGGGGAAUAUUGGACAAUGGGCGCAAGCCUGACGCAGCCAUGCCGCGUGUGUGAAGAAGGCCUUCGGGUUGUAAAGCACUUUCAGCGGGGAGGCGGUACCCGCAGAAGAAGCACCGGCUAACUCCGUGCCAGCAGCCGCGGUAAUAC